UUAAAUUGAAGAGUUUGAUCAUGGCUCAGAUUGAACGCUGGCGGCAGGCCUAACACAUGCAAGUCGAACGGUAACAGAAAGCAGCUUGCUGCUUUGCUGACGAG
rnacentral:rRNA from 1 species